rnacentral:tRNA from 1 species
GGAGGGAUUCCCGAGCGGCCAAAGGGAUCAGACUGUAAAUCUGACGCGCAAGCUUCGGUGGUUCGAAUCCACCCCCCUCCACCA